AGCGAACGCUGGCGGCAGGCUUAACACAUGCAAGUCGAGCGGGCCCUUCGGGGUCAGCGGCGGACGGGUGAGUAACGCGUGGGAACGUGCCUUCUGGUCUGGAAUAACCCUGGGAAACUAGGGCUAAUACCGGAUACGCCCUUUUGGGGAAAGGUUUACUGCCUGAAGAUCGGCCCGCGUCUGAUUAGCUAGUUGGUGGGGUAACGGCCUACCAAGGCGACGAUCAGUCGCUGGUGUGAGAGGAUGAUCAGCCACACUGGGACUGAGACACGGCCCAGACUCCUACGGGAGGCAGCAGUGGGGAAUAUUGGACAAUGGGCGCAAGCCUGAUCCAGCCAUGCCGCGUGAGUGAUGAAGGCCUUAGGGUUGUAAAGCUCUUUUAUCCGGGACGAUAAUGACGGUACCGGAGGAAUAAGCCCCGGCUAACUUCGUGCCAGCCGCCGCAGUAA
rnacentral:rRNA from 1 species